rnacentral:tRNA from 1 species
GGAUGUAGCUCAGUGGUAGAACACUUGCCUUGUAUGUGUGAGGCACUGGGUUCAAUUCCCAGCACCA